GCUGGGCUAUUACGUAAAAUUCAGCAAUCGACGAAACCAUCGCAAAGCAAAAGCCAAGCCAUAGCGAUCAAUUGCUAAUUGUUUAAAAUUUUGGUAUCACGUAACUAUUCGUUUGCUUAUCGCUCGCUGUCCGCUCUGAGCGAAUAUAAUGCAGUUUUUGCUGGAACACUAGCGCCAAAAACCAUCAGAAGACAAUCAAUGGAACUAUUUAACGUCAAACUUAAAACAUCUGAUUGUAUUGUUACAAAUAAAUGGUAAACAUUGCUUUUUGGUAAUUCAUCCCUGUGUUAAUGAAAGUCAUAUUCGACACAGUCCACUCCAAAUUUCAACAAAAAUAAUGAAGUGCGCCAUAGAACAGUUAGUGAAACAUUGAAACAUGUGUUAAACAUUGCUUUUUGGACAAGUAAGGAUUGUUGAAAGUUAACAAGUAAAAUAACUAAGCUUCCAAUACUACUUCGUUAAAGAGAUGAUGGAAUCAGAUCUACUUUGGAUUUUAUACGGCAUUGACGUAUUUUAGAAACAAGGAUAUCAAGAUGAACAGAGUGUCAAAAGAUCAGCUUGAAGUUUUGUUGGAGUUUUUAUAGUUCUUACAAGAACAUCAUUCUUUAGCCAAAGACAUGCACUCGGCACCACAUUCAAGAAAACUGUCGAUAGUCAGUGGAAACAUCUACCGAUAAAGCUGAACUCUAUUAGUUUAGGUUCUUCCAAAACUGGAGAGCAUUUGAAACGUACUGGGCUGAUAUUUUAUAAGAACAAAACCAGAUUUGCUAAACAUAGAUGGAGUCUUCUGACUGACUGGCAGCGGUCUGAGUACACCGGAAAGAUAUUUCCGAGAUGGACAAAAAAUUCUGUCAUUGGAGAACAGGCUCUGUUUGGGAUGUAGAAAACAGAGUUCCAAUAUUGUAAACUUUACCAUAAAUAUUAUGUAUAUAAAA